GUCUUUUUGUUAAUAAUUUAAAGUCUAAUCUGCCCACUGAUAUAUUUAUUAAAGGGCUGCAGUAUUUUGACUGUACAAAGGUAGCAUAAUCAUUAGUCUUUUAAUUGGUGACUUGUAUGAAAGAUUGGAUGAAAUAUAAACUGUCUCUUUUAUAAAAAAAAAAUUGAAUUUAAUUUUUUAAUUAAAAAGUUAAAAUUAUUUAAAAAGACGAGAAGACCCUAUAGAGUUUUAUAAUUUAUUUUGUAAAUAUUUUUAUUUUUAUAUUUUUAUAAUUUUAAAUUAUUUUGUUGGGGUGAUAAAAAAAUUUAAUUAACUUUUUUUAAUAGUUUACAUUAAUAAGUGAUUAAAUGAUCCAAUUUUAUUGAUUAAAAGAAAAAAUUACCUUAGGGAUAACAGCGUAAUUUUUUUUUUAGUUCAAAUAAAAAGAAAAGUUUGCGACCUCGAUGUUGGAUUAAGAUAAAAUUUAAAUGUAGAAGUUUAAAAUUUUGAUCUGUUCGAUCAUUUAAAUCUU
rnacentral:rRNA from 1 species